UUCCUCACCUCAUUCCCUCGCCUGUGCUUCUCCACCCAGCUCCCCACCUGCACCUUAUUCUCUGCUCCCUCACUGAUGAUUACAUUGGCGACGUGACUGGAGUGGCUGACAUCUCUUUGAGGCCACCAUUGCAGGGACCACCCACCGUCACAGUGCGGCUCCAGUCUGAACACAGGACGCAGGAAAGAAAGAAACAUACGGCCAUUAUACUGCAAUAGAAAACAUCCAGACAAACAUCCAUCCAUUGCUGUGCUUCAAAAUAGGUACCUGAGUAAUCACUGAGUCGGAAACGUCCGCAGCACAAGUGGAUUCUCCACUGUUUCCUCACAU